rnacentral:tRNA from 1 species
GGACCCAUAGCUCAGUUGGAUAGAGCACGACAUUCCUAAUGUCGGGGUCAGUGGUUCGAGUCCACUUGGGUUCACCA